rnacentral:rRNA from 1 species
AACGAACGCUGGCGGCAUGCCUAACACAUGCAAGUCGAACGAGACCUUCGGGUCUAGUGGCGCACGGGUGCGUACCGCGUGGGAACCUGCCCUUAGGUUCGGAAUAACUCCCCGAAAGGGGUGCUAAUACCGGAUAAUGUCUUCGGACCAAAGAUUUAUCGCCUUUGGAUGGGCCCGCGUUGGAUUAGCUAGUUGGUAGGGUAAAAGCCUACCAAGGCGACGAUCCAUAGCUGGUCUGAGAGGAUGAUCAGCCACACUGGGACUGAGACACGGCCCAGACUCCUACGGGAGGCAGCAGUGGGGAAUAUUGGACAAGGGGCGAAAGCCUGAUCCAGCAAUGCCGCGUGAGUGAUGAAGGCCUUAGGGUUGUAAAGCUCUUUUACACGGGAUGAUAAUGACAGUACCGGGAGAAUAAGCUCCGGCUAACUCCGUG